UACGGGGGGAGCAAGCGUUGUUCGGAUUUACUGGGCGUAAAGGGCGCGUAGGCGGCCACCGCAAGUCGACUGUGAAAUCUCCGGGCUUAACCCGGAACGGUCAGCCGAUACUGCGGGGCUAGAGUGCAGAAGGGGCAACUGGAAUUCUCGGUGGUAGCGGUGAAAUGCGUAGAUAUCGAGAGGAACACCUGCGGCGAAGGCGGGUUGCUGGGCUGACACUGACGCUGAUGUGCGAAAGCUAGGGGAGCGAACGGG
rnacentral:rRNA from 1 species